rnacentral:rRNA from 2 species
UUAAGCGACUAAGCGUACACGGUGGAUGCCCUGGCAGUCAGAGGCGAUGAAGGACGUGCUAAUCUGCGAUAAGCGUCGGUAAGGUGAUAUGAACCGUUAUAACCGGCGAUUUCCGAAUGGGGAAACCCAGUGUGAUUCGUCACACUAUCAUUAACUGAAUCCAUAGGUUAAUGAGGCGAACCGGGGGAACUGAAACAUCUAAGUACCCCGAGGAAAAGAAAUCAACCGAGAUUCCCCCAGUAGCGGCGAGCGAACGGGGAGGAGCCCAGAGCCUGAAUCAGUGUGUGUGUUAGUGGAAGCGUCUGGAAAGGCGCGCGAUACAGGGUGACAGCCCCGUACACAAAAAUGCACAUGCUGUGAGCUCGAUGAGUAGGGCGGGACACGUGGUAUCCUGUCUGAAUAUGGGGGGACCAUCCUCCAAGGCUAAAUACUCCUGACUGACCGAUAGUGAACCAGUACCGUGAGGGAAAGGCGAAAAGAACCCCGGCGAGGGGAGUGAAAAAGAACCUGAAACCGUGUACGUACAAGCAGUGGGAGCACGCUUAGGCGUGUGACUGCGUACCUUUUGUAUAAUGGGUCAGCGACUUAUAUUCUGUAGCAAGGUUAACCGAAUAGGGGAGCCGAAGGGAAACCGAGUCUUAACUGGGCGUUAAGUUGCAGGGUAUAGACCCGAAACCCGGUGAUCUAGCCAUGGGCAGGUUGAAGGUUGGGUAACACUAACUGGAGGACCGAACCGACUAAUGUUGAAAAAUUAGCGGAUGACUUGUGGCUGGGGGUGAAAGGCCAAUCAAACCGGGAGAUAGCUGGUUCUCCCCGAAAGCUAUUUAGGUAGCGCCUCGUGAAUUCAUCUCCGGGGGUAGAGCACUGUUUCGGCAAGGGGGUCAUCCCGACUUACCAACCCGAUGCAAACUGCGAAUACCGGAGAAUGUUAUCACGGGAGACACACGGCGGGUGCUAACGUCCGUCGUGAAGAGGGAAACAACCCAGACCGCCAGCUAAGGUCCCAAAGUCAUGGUUAAGUGGGAAACGAUGUGGGAAGGCCCAGACAGCCAGGAUGUUGGCUUAGAAGCAGCCAUCAUUUAAAGAAAGCGUAAUAGCUCACUGGUCGAGUCGGCCUGCGCGGAAGAUGUAACGGGGCUAAACCAUGCACCGAAGCUGCGGCAGCGACGCUUAUGCGUUGUUGGGUAGGGGAGCGUUCUGUAAGCCUGUGAAGGUGUGCUGUGAGGCAUGCUGGAGGUAUCAGAAGUGCGAAUGCUGACAUAAGUAACGAUAAAGCGGGUGAAAAGCCCGCUCGCCGGAAGACCAAGGGUUCCUGUCCAACGUUAAUCGGGGCAGGGUGAGUCGACCCCUAAGGCGAGGCCGAAAGGCGUAGUCGAUGGGAAACAGGUUAAUAUUCCUGUACUUGGUGUUACUGCGAAGGGGGGACGGAGAAGGCUAUGUUGGCCGGGCGACGGUUGUCCCGGUUUAAGCGUGUAGGCUGGUUUUCCAGGCAAAUCCGGAAAAUCAAGGCUGAGGCGUGAUGACGAGGCACUACGGUGCUGAAGCAACAAAUGCCCUGCUUCCAGGAAAAGCCUCUAAGCAUCAGGUAACAUCAAAUCGUACCCCAAACCGACACAGGUGGUCAGGUAGAGAAUACCAAGGCGCUUGAGAGAACUCGGGUGAAGGAACUAGGCAAAAUGGUGCCGUAACUUCGGGAGAAGGCACGCUGAUAUGUAGGUGAAGUCCCUCGCGGAUGGAGCUGAAAUCAGUCGAAGAUACCAGCUGGCUGCAACUGUUUAUUAAAAACACAGCACUGUGCAAACACGAAAGUGGACGUAUACGGUGUGACGCCUGCCCGGUGCCGGAAGGUUAAUUGAUGGGGUCAGCGCAAGCGAAGCUCUUGAUCGAAGCCCCGGUAAACGGCGGCCGUAACUAUAACGGUCCUAAGGUAGCGAAAUUCCUUGUCGGGUAAGUUCCGACCUGCACGAAUGGCGUAAUGAUGGCCAGGCUGUCUCCACCCGAGACUCAGUGAAAUUGAACUCGCUGUGAAGAUGCAGUGUACCCGCGGCAAGACGGAAAGACCCCGUGAACCUUUACUAUAGCUUGACACUGAACAUUGAGCCUUGAUGUGUAGGAUAGGUGGGAGGCUUAGAAGUGUGGACGCCAGUCUGCAUGGAGCCGACCUUGAAAUACCACCCUUUAAUGUUUGAUGUUCUAACGUUGACCCGUAAUCCGGGUUGCGGACAGUGUCUGGUGGGUAGUUUGACUGGGGCGGUCUCCUCCUAAAGAGUAACGGAGGAGCACGAAGGUUGGCUAAUCCUGGUCGGACAUCAGGAGGUUAGUGCAAUGGCAUAAGCCAGCUUGACUGCGAGCGUGACGGCGCGAGCAGGUGCGAAAGCAGGUCAUAGUGAUCCGGUGGUUCUGAAUGGAAGGGCCAUCGCUCAACGGAUAAAAGGUACUCCGGGGAUAACAGGCUGAUACCGCCCAAGAGUUCAUAUCGACGGCGGUGUUUGGCACCUCGAUGUCGGCUCAUCACAUCCUGGGGCUGAAGUAGGUCCCAAGGGUAUGGCUGUUCGCCAUUUAAAGUGGUACGCGAGCUGGGUUUAGAACGUCGUGAGACAGUUCGGUCCCUAUCUGCCGUGGGCGCUGGAGAACUGAGGGGGGCUGCUCCUAGUACGAGAGGACCGGAGUGGACGCAUCACUGGUGUUCGGGUUGUCAUGCCAAUGGCACUGCCCGGUAGCUAAAUGCGGAAGAGAUAAGUGCUGAAAGCAUCUAAGCACGAAACUUGCCCCGAGAUGAGUUCUCCCUGACUCCUUGAGAGUCCUGAAGGAACGUUGAAGACGACGACGUUGAUAGGCCGGGUGUGUAAGCGCAGCGAUGCGUUGAGCUAACCGGUACUAAUGAACCGUGAGGCUUAACCUU